GACAGAGGUGCCGAGCGUUAGGCGGAAUCACUGGGCUUAAAGCGUGUGUAGGCGGGUCGUUAAGUGUCUUGUGAAAUCCCACCGCUCAACGGUGGAACCGCUGGGCAUACUGGCGAUCUUGAGCAGUCCAGGGGCGAGCGGAACAAGCGGUGGAGCGGUGAAAUGCGUAGAUAUCAGGAGGAACACCGAUGGCGAAGGCAGGUCUCUGGGCCGACAUUGACGCUGAGGAGCGAAAGCGUGGGGAGCGAACAGG
rnacentral:rRNA from 1 species